rnacentral:rRNA from 1 species
CUACGGAGGGUCCAAGCGUUAUCCGGAAUCAUUGGGUUUAAAGGGUCCGCAGGCGGUCAAUUAAGUCAGAGGUGAAAGCCCAUCGCUCAACGAUGGAACUGCCUUUGAUACUGGUUGACUUGAGUUAUACGGAAGUAGAUAGAAUAAGUAGUGUAGCGGUGAAAUGCAUAGAUAUGACUUAGAAUACCGAUUGCGAAGGCAGUCUACUACGUAUAUACUGACGCUGAGGGACGAAAGCGUGGGGAGCGAACAGGAUUAGAAACCCUAGUAGUCC